UGUCUCUUGUCUCUCUAUCUUGUAUUCUUGUUACCAUAGCUUAGCAUGAUCUGAUUUAGUUCUUUUGCUCUCACAUGGCAGGGUCAACUAAUAAGGAAGUGGAUGCUUAUAUUCCCAACUACCUAAGCUUGCCACCCUAACUCAUUUGUCAACUCCAUAAUCUUACUAUGCAUUAUGAUGAUGUUUGCUGCAAGAGCAAAAGGAGGCCUAUCUUCUAGCAGUGUUGGGAAGUCCAAGCAGCAGAGAAAGUGUUUCCUCCAUUGAUAAACUUACUCCAAAGUCCAGAGACAUGCUACAAACCUUGCAUUUAGCUCAUCAAAUUUAUUAACUUAGCGAUUUUAUGAUUUUGAUAUACAGGAUUUCUCUCAACAGCCUCCUGCUCAAGAGUUGAUUUCAAGGGAUUUACAUGGUUCCUAGAUAAAUCGGCGAUUGUUUCAGAAAAGUCAAAGGCACAUAGAUGGAAAGUGUGCACAGUAACACAAGUAGAAGAAGUGAAGAUCCUAAUAAGAAUGCUACCAAUAGUUGGAAGCACCAUCAUAAUGAACACAUGCUUGGCACAGCUUCAAACAUUCUCAGUUCAGCAA